rnacentral:misc_RNA from 1 species
CUCUCUCUCUCUCUCUGCCUCCCUCUCUUUACGCGUAUACACAUAGACACAUACCUUUCUCUCUUUCGCGCUUACCCUCGUAGGGUUAGGCAUCCUCGCGGUAGAAGCUUGCGUCGCGUCGCCACCCUCCUCUCCCGGAGAGAUCCGACGGAUCUCACGAAAGCGAGAGAGGAGAAGAAUCACGCUGCAGAGCAGCACGUGUGCUGCAGUCGCGCGGGUCGACAAGCGCGCGCUUAUAGUCAUCGGCUCUCAUCCGGCGAGGGUCAUCGCGCCGAUAGUCGAUGCGAGUAAUAGUUGUUGACCGUGCUCGAGAGACUGUCGCGAGAGCGUCGAUCGAGGGGUUGCUUGGCGCGACAGGUUCGUUUAAGCGCGACCGGGCUGCUCGCGAGAGUGAAGGGGUGUCGGGAGAACGAAGUUGCGCGAGCUCGGAGCAAUCGGCCGAGUCGGUCCAAGCUUGGCGCAUCAACGCAAAACGGAGUGUUCAACCCCCGCGCGAGUGACUGUACGCGCGAGGACAGCACGAGCUCUCGAAUAAGUCGUCGGCUCGCGAGUCGCCGGCACUGUGAUUGGUAAUACGCGAGGUGCGACGAAACAGCGAGAUCCGCGAACGGAUUCGCAGUGGUGCCUUUGCCGAGCGAGGACGUCGGUGGGAGGACCGACACCGUCGGCCGUCGGCAGUUCUUGUGAACGAAAGUGUUCAAAGGCCCGAAGAUUCUGCCUUCGCAGCAGCUGGGCGCUGCGGUCGCUCCAUGGCCGGGCGCCACCGGCCUCAUAGCUUCAGUCACUGCUGACGACAUGGCACACAAAGGACACAGCGGGGUGAACCAGCUGGGGGGUGUCUUCGUCGGCGGCCGGCCACUUCCGGACUCGACGCGGCAGAAGAUCGUCGAGCUGGCGCACUCGGGCGCGCGACCUUGCGACAUCUCCAGGAUACUGCAGGUCAGCAACGGCUGCGUCUCGAAGAUCCUCGGCAGUUGCAGGUACUAUGAGACCGGAUCCAUACGGCCCAGAGCGAUCGGCGGCAGUAAGCCGCGCGUAGCCACCGCGGAGGUCGUCAGCAAGAUCUCGCUCUACAAGAGCGAGUGUCCAUCGAUCUUCGCAUGGGAGAUUCGAGAUCGCCUGCUGCAGGAGGGUGUGUGCACAAACGACAACAUCCCGAGUGUGUCUUCGAUCAACAGGGUACUGAGGAAUUUGGCCGCGCAGAAGGAACAGAGGCAACAGCAGCAACAGCAGCAGCAAGGAGUGGGCGCUGUGGGGGUUGGCGUCGGUGCCGGCAGUCCGGCGGAGAGCGUUUACGAUAAACUCAGGCUACUAAACGGGCAGACCACCGGCUGGCCGCGUCCCAAUCCCUGGUAUCCGUCGAGCGCGGGAAGCCCGUUUUCCUCGAUACAGUCCAGUUUGAGUCCGAGCCAUUGUUCGUCCCUGCCGCCGGACCCGGCGGACAUACUCCACGCGAAGAAAGUGCACGGUUACGAAGGAGCAAUUCGGGGGUGGAUAAGGAAGGCGCGCGGAAGAGAGGAUCCCAGGGCGCAGGGGGCGCAGGGGGGGGAGAGAAGAGGCACGGAGAGAACUUGUACGCCAACGUCGCACUCGAUUCUCGAGCGCGCGGUAACCGAGCUGGAGGGUGGCGCGCACUCGGACGAGACGAACAGCGGGGGUGACAACAGCAACGCCGGCAGCGUGUCGGGCGGCGCCGACGACGACCAGGCGCGCCUACGUCUCAAGAGGAAGCUGCAGAGGAACCGCACGAGCUUCAGCAACGAGCAGAUCGACGCGCUGGAGAAGGAGUUCGAGAGGACGCACUACCCGGACGUGUUCGCCAGGGAGAGACUCGCCGGCAAGAUCGGCCUACCCGAGGCGCGAAUACAGGUCUGGUUUUCGAAUCGGCGGGCGAAGUGGCGACGCGAGGAGAAAUUGCGCACGCAACGGAGGGACAAUCCGCAGCAGCAGCAACAGCAACAGCAGCAGCAGCAACAGCAGCAGCAACAGCAACAGCAACACACUGCCGGCGUGAGUCUGGUGGCCGCUGGUCACCCGACGCCGCCGCCGCCUUCGGGGAUACUUGGUGGCCAGCCGCCACCGCAGGCACCACCAUCGCCGCCGAGGAUACAUCACGGAUUCGCGCCCACUGCCGUCUACCCGGGCAUACCCAGCAUGCCUGACUCGUACAGCCCGAUGACGUCGAUGCCAAGCUUCACGAUGUCGGGCGCCAGUCAACAGAACCAGCACACUACCAGCAGCAUGUCCUCGCUGUCGGCUGGCGGCGGCAUGAGCCCGAUGGGCAUGACCGUCGGCAUGACCGUCGGGCCCAGUCCAGGCGCGUGUCUUCAGCAACGGGACAACGGCUACUCGUGCGGGGUCGCGAGACCACCAAGUUACGAGCCCCUGCACCUCGGCUACGGCGCCAGGCCGACUUGCAGCCCGACGCAGCCUUACCACGCGGCGGGUCUCAAUCAGUACAAUCAGAACGCCAGCUCGACCGGUGAGUGUCUACCGCACUCACUGCAUUCGCUGCUUGCACUCUAGCCGAUGGACUACUACUACGGCUACCAUGGAUAACACGCUAUCGAGCUCGCCGGUCUGAUAUCACCCGGCGUGAGUGUGCCGAUCGCAGUACCAGGUCAACCGGCACCCGACAUGGCCGCGCAAUAUUGGUCGCCGAGGCUGCAGUGACCGUGGUGGUCGUCGACGUCGACCUCGUCUCCGUAGACUUGAGCUUCUUCGUCUGCUUCCCAUUCUCUGCGGUUUGCGCGCAAGCGAGCGAGCGAUCGAAUGAGAAUAGCGUGAUCUCGAAAUCUCGAGAUUUCCGCGCGUUGCAAUCGUCCGUCAAUCGAGGCGGACUGCCGUGUCAUUCCCGUUACUAUUUUUAGGUUUCCGGUUUACCGGAACUUCGCACGGAAAUGAGUUUGGUUUGUUCGUCUGUACGCAUUUAUCACUUUCGUUUUUUGCGAGGCGAGUGCGUCGAGCCAGAAGGUUAACUUUGUCGAACGAGUACAUCAUACUAGAUUACAGGCGGAGAUUAAUCGAUUUCCGUGUAUAGCCGCGAAUUUUACAACCGUCAAAUUUAAUCACCGUGUUCUGAUACUGGGAAUUAGCGUCCUCACGCUUGCAAUUAAUAUCCUCCUCGAUCGCGUCUUUUAGUUAUUGUCGGAUUUCCGUUAUUCACCGUUUCGCUUUCGCCAGUACGUCGGCAUCACGAUGCACAACCAGAUGCUUCCCGUCUUCAUUUCGACGCUGCACCGAGAUUCGAAUAAUAUGCAGAAAUAGUGAGACAUCAUACUACUUGUUAAUACGAGUCAAUCAACUCGUGUUCUUCAUAUGACACGUUGACACGGCUAUGAUCGGCAUGAUGUCAUGUACAAAAUGUCGUCCGCGUGUCGGCGCCUCUGCAAUCGCAAAUUCAUUUUCAUUCGUAGCAUCAUUUUUCUGGCCGUGAUAUUUUUCAAAUAAAAUCGAGGUUGAUACAUGUGUUUAGGAAAAAAAGGAGAGAAUGAAAGAGAGAGAGAGAGAGAGAGAGAGAGAGAGAGA